rnacentral:rRNA from 1 species
UACAGAGGUCUCAAGCGUUGUUCGGAUUCAUUGGGCGUAAAGGGCGCGUAGGCGGUCCUGAUCGUCGGAUGUGAAAGGCCUGGGCUCAACCUGGGAAUGGCAUCCGAUACGGCGGGACUGGAGUGUGGGAGAGGUUGGUGGAAUUCCCAGUGUAGAGGUGAAAUUCGUAGAUAUUGGGAAGAACACCGGUGGCGAAGGCGGCCAACUGGACCACAACUGACGCUGAGGCGCGAAAGCGUGGGGAGCAAACAGG